CUCAUGUUUUUGGUAGUGGGUAUUUGUUCCUCAAGUCGCUAUUUUUCUCUAUUUUCCAGCACACCCAUUUCGAUUCCUUGCUUAUUUUCUAUGUUACAACAAGUUUCCUGUAUUGUACCCUGUUUGGUAGCUGAGAAAAUUGAGGAUAAAUGGGGUGGAAGGAAUGUUGUAACUGUGCAAACGCUGCUGUUGUGUUUUGAUAAUUGGAAAACAUAGACAACUAGUGGUAUAAAAGACUUAUUGGGUGGCAAAAAUGCUUUUGUUUGUUUUUUUCUUUUUGGGGUUCUGUGUUCAGACUAAGCAAAGAUAUUUGAGGAAUAAUUUAAACUGAUGGUAGACAACUAGUUGUAUAAAACACUAAUGAGGUUGCAAGGUUGCUUUGAAUUUAGUUUCCUUCAUUCAUAGACCAAACUAGGCUAUUUGUUAGCUAUUUAAGUUAUUAUCUUGGAGUUUAUGUUACUGAGUUUGGUGUGGAAUGCUAGGCUUGAUUGAUUACAAUUUUGUAGUGAUAAGGAUGAAACUGGAAAUGGAUUAAGUAGAGAUUGAUAGUGAAAAAUUGAGAUACACCCAUCUUCUCCAGAUUUGGGAAAAAUAAAAUGAAUAAUAGUACAUCUAAAACAUAGGAGUAUAUGUCUUUCCUUUGACUUGCUUGUUUGCACAUUGUAUGUUGUUGAUGAUUUUAUUUCGUUCUUGUUGACUUGUUAUUAAAUGAAGAUAUUGACAUGUAUACAUUCUACAAUUAAUUUGAUCCCUGCUUUCUUUGGAAAGUUUGAGUUUGGCCGAGAGCCUUUCACUGCAACUGGUUAACACUUCCUAGUGUUUCUAACGUAAACAUCCAGAGUCCAAAUCCCCCUCCCCUGAUUAUCGAAUUAUAUUUGGGAAGUUUGAGUUUGGCAUUGACUAUUUGAACAUCCAACCUUGUUUUGAAGUGGGUUUCUUAAAUGCAUGCAAACUUUUAUGAACUAUUUGCAAGCAUUCAAUGUAGAUAUAUCUCUCUAUCCCUGAUAAUGAACAAUGGGUGGCUAAGGAAGCAGUGUUAGUUGACAGACUUGCUUAAAAUAAUUCAUAAAUGUUAAUUACUUUUAUCUUACUCAAUUAUCCUUUUUGUGGAUCAUUUUGGGGUCAGAACGAGACAUAGAAACUCAUAAAGGAGUUGAACUAGGUUGAAAAUAUAGAUUUGUUGUUUGCCUCCCACUACAAAGAAGGAACACUUGAUUUUCCAAUGCUUAUUUGCACCGUUUAUUUAGUUGCUAAUCAAUGGUUUCCACUGGUGAAAGAUCAAUGUGAAGAAUAAUUAACUAAAUUGACAUUGAUUUCCAAUGAGUUCUAGCUCAAGAAGCACUUUCUUUUCCCAUAAGAAUGGAUGGAGGGUGAGGGUGCGUGGGUAACUUACGUUUUAAAAAAGAAAACAAAAUAAUUACUAAUUGUACAAAAUCUAAAGGUGAGGUUGAGGAUUCAGAGUCCCACCCACUUCUGUAACUUGCCAUUAAACAAAGGCAAGCAAAUUUGAAACAUUUUACAUGGUUAUUAUAGGACUGUAUGCUUUUUUAUAUGAUUGGGCUGUAUAAAAAUUUCAUUUAUUUAUGUUUAUGAAUAUAGUAUCUUAUAUUAUGCUCAAUAUGCAUGCUAAAUGCUUCAGUAUUAAUUGAAGUUGCUUUCGUAUUGAGUUUGGGUUCAUAUGUAAUUCUCUUUUUUAUUAUCUUGAUGUGGAUUAGCACAAUGCUUGAUACUCAUCUUUUUGUCACCUGUUAAUAGUCACCAUUUAGACAGCUCUAUCAUCUGUGAACCUUGGCCAAUAAUAGGCUAGCUCAACAGUUUAACAUUACUAUUAAGAGAGUGUGGUACUUGUUAUAUCUUAGCCACGCUUUUGGCUUUUAUCGAUGACUCUGCAGAUAUGUCAUUAUCCAAGCUUGUUUGCUACUGAGACAACAAUUAGAUUAUUAUAUUUCCUUUUGAGAGUAUAUUCAUGGUUGUGUGCAAAUCUUUCAGUUUGUCCAUGCUUUCAGAGCUCAGAUCCCUGUAACUAACCCAGGAAGGUAUGUGAUGUUUAUCAUAUUUAUGAUAUCAGUUAUGAACUUAUGAUGCUUCCUACAAAUAAUUGUGAGUGCUAAAUGUAUUUGCAUUGUAGACAAUCAGUGGGACGACUAUGUUACCUUUAUAUUUGCAAAAAAUUUUGUAUGGUAAAAUGAAUUCACAUAAAACUCAAUUUAGUGGUUGAAGGACUCAUUAGCUCUUACUAAUACAUGUCUUAACAUUGAUGACAAUUUUGCUUAUAGUUCAUUUCUUCUAGCUCAGGGACUAAUCAUAAUUUUUGCAAUUCCUCCAUCUAGGUCUAUAGAACAAUCACAUCUAACCUUACUACCUUGAGCUUUGCUAUUAUCUCGCUCUGUACACUUUAGUAAAAUCAAAUACGGUGAAAUUCCGUAAAUAUUGUAUAGCAAUGGAUAAAUGUUGGAUGGACAAGAGGAGGGAUUCGAUGGAAUAUGUUCAAGGUGUGGUCAAAUUCGUGGAGUUUGCAUCUCUAACUGCACGCAAUGGGAAGAUCUUAUGUCCUUGUAACCACUGUGUGAAUAUGAAAUUAUUACUGCCCAAUGUUGCACGUGAUCAUUGUUGGACUUGGGGGAUGCUUAAAAAUUACAAACUUUGGAAAUUUCAUGGGGAAUCGGCGGCUGCAACGAAGGCUACCAAAUGUGGGAGUACUCAUGUGCAAGAAAACCUAAAUCAAUAUGGUGAUUUCUGUGGGAUGUUGCACGAUUUGUAACCCACGCAUGAAAUGGCACCCGAACCAACGGAACAAGGUGAAAGUGUACAACACAACCAGCUGAAGGUUUGAAUGAUGAUGCAAAAAAGUUUUACAAUAUGAUACUCCCCACCCCUCCCUCCAAAAUGUUUAUAAUACUAAUAUUCUACUAGUCUCCUCAAAAGUUCAAAUUACUUUGAAAAAAAGAGUGCAGUGGGCAGUGGCAGUGGCAGUAUGUAUCACAUGACAUGCAAAUCUUAUCAAGUGACCAAAAGUGGGUGAAUAAUGUUGGGGGAUCCAUAAAAUUACAUUAUCAAGGUCCACUAAAGAUUGUGUAUCAUUUUGUGUAGUUUCAUUUCAUUUCUUUUCUUUUUAAAUAUUUAAUUCAAGUCAAAAUGAUGAUCAAUGUGGGUGAUCUCUAUGAAAGACCUAAAGUGCCAACUCAACUGUGGACACCUUACAGUUAAUCCAAAAGUGGGUGCAGUCGAAAUCAAUAGAGGCGGCAAUAAAGCGUGCAGUUGUUUAUGAAAAAGUCUACAAUGCCAAAGAUGGGACUCAUGUUACUGUCCGAGCGAGAGAGAACAUAGCUAGGAUGAAAGAAAUUUUGAAUGAAGAGGGCACACCACUACAAGGAGAUAGUAGUGGUGGAAUCCUAUGGUCCAAUGAUGAUGCGUUUGCUCGAGUGAUGGGUCCAGAGCGCAGUGGACGUGUACGUGGGGUGGGUUUUGGACAAACCCCAUCAAAUGAAACGACCCAGAGGAUUAUGCAAUUGGAGACUGCAUUUGCAUCUAUGAAGGAGCAACUAGCCCAAUUAGAUGCGAGGCAUGAAGAGCAACUCGCCCAAUUAAAAGCGAGGCAUCAAGAGCAACUCGCCCAAUCACUAGCCCAAUUAGAAGCGAGGCAACAAGAGCAACUCGCCCAAUCACUAACCCAAUUAGAAGCGAGGCAACAAGAGCAACUCGCCCAAUUAAAUGCGAGGCUUCAAGAGCAACUUGCCCAAUUAGAUGCGAGGCUUCAAGAACAAAUGAGAGAAGUGAUGUCGCAAAUGAGAGAAAUGCUGUCCCAAUUAAGCCCACAUAUGCGUUCUUCACAUCUUUUUCAGAAUGAUGAUGAUUUUGAGGAUUGAUGGGGACUCUCUACAACUGACGUUGAUCAAUGCAUAAAGUAGGAUAGUUAACUUCUUCUUUUUUUGAGAAAAGUAAGAUAGUUAACUUAGUUCUUAUAUUUUUGGGAUUUAGGAGAAUUAUUACUCAGUUAUUGCUGAUCAUGAGUGAAUAUCUUAGGAUAUCUGUGUUAAUUUGAAUGUACAUAAUUUAUUAUUUUGAUAUGUUGGUUUGUCCACUGAUUUAUUUAGAUGGACAGAUUGAUAAACUACUAAACAA